CAACUACUCCCUCUGUCCCAAAUUUCUUGUCUUAGAUUUGUCCAGAUACGGAUGUAUCUAAUACUAAAAUGUGACUUGAUACAUCCAUAUCUAGACAAAUCUAAGACAAGAAUUUUGGGACGAAGGGAGUACUUU
rnacentral:pre_miRNA from 1 species